rnacentral:rRNA from 1 species
UAAUACGAAGGGUGCAAGCGUUACUCGGAAUCACUGGGCGUAAAGCGUGCGUAGGCGGUUCGUUAAGUCUGCUGUGAAAGCCCUGGGCUCAACCUGGGAACUGCAGUGGAUACUGGCGGGCUAGAGUGUGAUAGAGGAUGGUGGAAUUCCCGGUGUAGCGGUGAAAUGCGUAGAGAUCGGGAGGAACACCAGUGGCGAAGGCGGCCAUCUGGAUCAACACUGACACUGAGGCACGAAAGCGUGGGGAGCAAACAG